rnacentral:rRNA from 1 species
GGGGAAUAUUGGACAAUGGGCGAAAGCCUGAUCCAGCCAUGCCGCGUGUGUGAAGAAGGUCUUCGGAUUGUAAAGCACUUUAAGUUGGGAGGAAGGGUUGUAGAUUAAUACUCUGCAAUUUUGACGUUACCGACAGAAUAAGCACCGGCUAACUUCGUGCCAGCAGCCGCGGUAAUACGAAGGGUGCAAGCGUUAAUCGGAAUUACUGGGCGUAAAGCGCGCGUAGGUGGUUCGUUAAGUUGGAUGUGAAAGCCCCGGGCUCAACCGGGAACUGCAUCCAAAACUGGCGAGCUAGAGUACGGUAGAGGGUGGUGGAAUUUCCUGUGUAGCGGUGAAAUGCGUAGAUAUAGGAAGGAACACCAGUGGCGAAGGCGACUUUCUGGUCUGCAACUGACGCUGAGGCGCGAAAGCAUGGGGAGCAAACA